AUUUGCUAUAUUGAUUUAGAUAGUCCUUCUUAGCCAUCUUUAGCUCCCGGUUUUUAAGGACUAUCCAAAUAAUGCUUCCUUUA
rnacentral:sRNA from 1 species